rnacentral:rRNA from 1 species
CCUACGGGGGGCAGCAGUGAGGAAUAUUGGUCAAUGGACGAGAGUCUGAACCAGCCAAGUAGCGUGAAGGAUGACUGCCCUAUGGGUUGUAAACUUCUUUUAUCUGGGAAUAAAAUGUUCCACGUGUGGGAUUUUGUAUGUACCAUAUGAAUAAGCAUCGGCUAACUCCGUGCCAGCAGCCGCGGUAAUACGGAGGAUCCGAGCGUUAUCCGGAUUUAUUGGGUUUAAAGGGAGCGUAGGUGGACUGUUAAGUCAGUUGUGAAAGUUUGCGGCUCAACCGUAAAAUUGCAGUUGAAACUGGCAGUCUAGAGUACAGUAGAGGUGGGCGGAAUGCGUGGUGUAGCGGUGAAAUGCUUAGAUAUCACGAAGAACACCGAUUGCGAAGGCAGCUCACUGGACUGCAACUGACACUGAGGCUCGAAAGUGUGGGUAUCAAACAGGAUUAGAUACCCGAGUAGUC